rnacentral:rRNA from 1 species
CCUACGGGAGGCAGCAGUGGGGAAUUUUGGACAAUGGGCGAAAGCCUGAUCCAGCAAUGCCGCGUGCAGGAAGAAGGUCUUCGGGUUGUAAACUGCUUUUGUNCGGAACGAAAAAGCUUCUGNUNAUCGAGAGGCGCAUGACGGUACCGUAAGAAUAAGCACCGGCUAACUACGUGCCAGCAGCCGCGGUAAU